AAACAGAGAGAAGAAGAAAGUGAUUAUUCUGAGGGGUUUUUUUGCAGUAUUUUCCAGUCCUGCAAAAUGAGGACUCCGAUUCUACUGUGUGUGCUGAUAAUUUGUGUGGGUCUAACAGCAGGACAUCCGAGAGGGAGAAAGCCUCCACGCAGAAGAUGUAAA